ACGAACCCACAGAACUGGGUUGUUCACCUGCUGGUUUCCUGACUGUGAUUCCUUGAAGUUAGGAAGAAACAGUCUUCUGCACGUGGGCAGUCACAGGGCAUUUGGACUCAUUUAAAGUUCUGUGGUCCCAGCACGAAAUGUUAGCCUGUGAGUCGACCCUUUCACAGUGAUGUUUAUCAGGUUUUCUAGUUAUUUCUGCUAGAACACUGUGAUUUUAAAUUAUCUUACUACCACAUGGAAAAUUCACGCUUUCAUGGCUUGCUUUACUUAAAAAUAUGGAAGCAAGAGCUAAUUUAAGGUGCUCUUGAAACCAUCCUUGGUGACCCUGCCUGUCACGCAGCAUAUCAGGUGCUUAAGACAAAAGACUUAGAAUUCAAAGCCAGCAACCAUCAGGAUUUCUGCCUGUGUUAGGUUUGAUGUUCCGUAUUGAAUUCCCCGUCUCUCAUGUGAGCCUGUCAUCGUUCAUAUUUGACAAUAUUUGAACAUCAGUGGUAUCUGCCUUGAACUUCCGUUAUUUCUCCGAAGCAGAACACCGAGAUAAUUCCUUCUUGAAUACAAAGGUAUCAGAAAUAUGUUCAUAGCAUUGCCAAAUGAGGUCGGUAUAUUAAAGAAGUUACACUGGAAACAUGCAAUAUUGAGAAUUCCCAUCUCUUUUGGGAAGGUUUAUUCCUGUGUAGUUCAAGCUUGAGUCAAAGUUACAAACCCCAUUGCAGAAAAGGCUUCAUACUUGAUGCAUUAUGAUUCAAAAGGAAGCUGUUUCAGAGCAAAGACUGUGCAGAGUCCAUAUUGAGUUCUUUGUCAGGGAGUGUGUUUACCUAUGGAUGCAGAACAGCUUCCUCGAUUUAGAGAAACUAGAGUCAACAAGCAGUACAUUCACCUGGACACUUGAUUGGCAUGUCUGUUUAAAAUGAGGUCAUGAGUGGUCUGUCCUUCCUCCUGAAUACUGCAGUGGAGGGCAUUGUCAGCAACCACAAGGACAGAAUUUCUGAGCAUAGCAAGUUUUCUAAUAUGUGUAUGUGUGGAGGUUUGGUGUGUUGCUACGUUUUGUUAUGCUAAAUUCUCUACUCAAAGGUCUAGGCCCUCUACUGACUUCUCACAUUUACAAGGUUCUGUUGUGUAAACCUUGUUCCUUGAUUUAAAACUACUGGAUAAAUCAAAUUGGCUACAGCCAAUUACUGGAGGGAUUUGAGGUAGGUGAGUUUUGAGUUAGCUGGUAGGAGGUGGAGAAGAGAGAGAAGGAAGAGACACCAGGACAAGGAGGAGGAAUGGGGAAAAAAAGGACGAAGCUGCCCUGGGGCAGAUAGACCAUGAGCAUGUGGCCAGGAGAAACAGAAACUUCCACUGGGAAGGCAGCCAGGACAGCAGUUAGAAGAGGAGAUUAAGGGUUGCAGCUCAGGAAUUGUCAAAGCCAAGUGAAAUAAACCUAAUCUGAAUUGAGUUUAUUUGUAAGGCAUAACCUUAGAUUGGUCAUAUUACACAUGUAUAUGUGUACAUCUAUGUUUGUGUCUGCUACAUGCACACCUACCUAAGAGGGUCGUCAUUCAUGUGAGAUGUGCCCAUCCUUGAGGUUGCAGCAUCCAUUUACAAGUCUUCUGCAGUCUCCAUUUCUUUGCAUUGUGAUUGUGUAAUUCAAUAGGAGGAGGAGCUACCAUAGUGUAGUCACAACCUGAACAUGUGAUCAAAGAGGAGCCUAAUUCAGCAGAAUAUUAGGGACCCAGGCAUACUUAUCAAAACAUCUAAUGGAGCCAGAUAUUCAGGCCUAAUAUGUUUGUUUAGACCAAGUUCACCAUUUUAAGUUUAUUUUCUACUGUCAUUUUUUUUAACAUCCUGACCAUUUAGUUUUGUCCCUUUGAAACAUUCUCCAAUAGGUGCUAUGUUUGACAAAAUCACUUUAAAAUCUUUGCUUACAGACUAAAGAGAUUUUCAGUAGUUGAGAGUAAUUACUGUGUUAUAGAAGAUGAGUUUGUUUUCUAACACACUUAUAAUGGCUUUCAAGCACAUAUAAGCAUCAGUUCUAGAGGAUCAGAUAUCUUCUUUUCACAUCAUCAGCCAUCAGUUGUAGAAAAGAUAGGCACACAGACAGACACACAUGGAAACAAAUUUCUAGUAAAGUAAAAUAAAAUGUAUAAUUGAAAAUUUACGCUGCCCAUGGUGGUACAUCCACUUAUUUUGACUAAACAGGGGUCGGAGAGAGCUGGAUCUCUCAGUUGGAGGAUGGCAAUUUAUAGAGUGAAUUUCAAGAAUAUCAGUGCAGAAACCCUGUCUGGAACAAGUACAAUAACAAGAAAAAGUAAAACCAAGGCUUCAUGUUUAGGAAAAAAAAAUGAUAUUUGAAAGGAAUAUUGUUUUUUUUUAACUGUUUAAACAUAACACAAAUGGUUAAACACCUACCAGUUGCCAUUUUAAAAGAUAGGUACUUUCACCAGCAAAAGCCCACUGAAAUAGAGCCCUUCCUAGUGCAGUUCUCAAUAGCCCAAUAUGUCUACCAUGUUGGCUGGCUUGAAGUUUCCGAGGUUUACUCCAUUAUAAUCAUGGUGGGAAGCAUGGCAGCAUGCAGGCUGACAUGGCGCCUGAGAGGAAGCUGGGACUUCUACAUCUUGAUCCAAAGUCAGCCAGAAGGAGCUUAUGUCCCACAUUGGAGACAGGUAGUGAUACGUGAACACACACACACACACACACACACACACACACACACAAAUGACCUGGAAGCCUGUCUCUACAGUGACACACUUCCUCUAAAACUCCAUACUGACUCAAUAGCAAUAAGGACCCAUUUCCCCAUUAGCAUUCAAAGAUAUGAGUUUAUGGGAGAAAAAAAACGAUUACAAAAUAUCACAUUUCGAGGCCCCACCUUUAUAUUCAGUUUUAUCAUUUGAUUAACAUCACCAGUUAUUAGUUACUGUCCAUGAAAUGAGCUUUAAAUUCAACCAGAAAAUAAUUGGUCACUCCCAUAACUUUGCUAUCCCUAUUGCUCCACCGGCACUUCAAUUUGCCUGACCAUUUAUUCUACUCCCUGUGUUCACUGCUGGGUAAGACUGUUUACUCAGGUACUUCCAUGGUAGCAUACCUAGAUUGUGCCACCAAUAUGAAAGGUAGCCAGCAGACAGCAAGCUUCUAAGUUGGUACCACCUGAGGGUAUAAAUGAACAGCCACUAUUCAUCAAAUGAGAAUUCUAUCUUGACUUGAGAACUGGCAAAUGAAAUAGCCCAUGUGAGAGUUACAACUUUUCCUAAUUAAUAAGCCGAUAAGGGUAUUCGUGAGAAAGCUUGAGCUUCCAUUCAGAAAGGAUCUUAAUAGAAAAGGGAGUAGGGGUAGACUUUAAAAGAUCAAAAGGCUGCACUCACAUCACAUGAGAUAUACAACAAAGGGUUGUGUUUCGUUUGGUUGAUUUUUUGUUGUUGUUUGGUUUUUCACUGUACCCCUGCACAAUGGACAGUUUUUAGAAGGGAUCCUUUGUAUCCAUAUAAAUCCUGAAUCAGCAAACACAAUUUUCUUUUUCAGAGCCUCCCUGAGGAGGCUCCAGAUGGAUAGUAUGAGGUACAGUGUCAGGAUAACCUGGCCUGGCCUAAGUCACCUUAUUCCCCAGGUCUAUUAGUUCUUUUCAAAUCCUUGAAUUUUAUGAAGGGGCAGGAACUGGGCCCUUGGACUCAUUUUUCUUAAGGCAACCUAACAUUUGAAAAAGAUUAACAACCAGUUAAUUCAUCAGAGCCCAGCUGUAAGAUCAGAUGGAGCACAACAGACAAGAGCACCAGACUUGAGCAAAGCCUUUUUCCUUACCUCCUUAGCAUGUUAUGGUAUGUGGCUAGUGUGCAAUUUACUCUGAUAGGGUCUAUUUCCUGUCCAAGAGGAGUGCUACUCUUGAGCCUGGGGUUGUCCUGCCGUCUAAGGAUAUUGUAGAUUUAAAGUUAAUUUUAAUCUUGUAUUGAAGUAUGUGUUUUAAGAUGUACUUCAAUAGCGGAGACAGAAGACUAAAGAUUGAGAGAUAUAAAUUGGCCUCUCCACCCUAACUUAUCUCCAUAAAUAAAUUUCACUUGUACUUAGCAUGACUAAAACUACAAUUUUAGGUAUAAAAGAGACAUUUAGUCACUUAAAAAUUAAUUGUUAACUUUUAGGUUUUAAUACCCAAAUUAAUAAACUCAAGUUUGAGAUGACUAUUUAGGAUCUCUAUCAAUAAUAAAAUAAGAACUACACUAUAUUUCAUGACUGACAUCACAUAUGCACCAAUCAAAUGCAUCCCUCCUACUGAGUAAGUGCAUGUGUCUUGGGUCCAUAUUUCAAUCCGCUGUCACGUUUCUAUGACAUGAAAGUUGGAAUGAGAAACAUUGCUCUGUAAUCAAAGUGAAUAAAGAUCCUUCAUUCUGAAACU
ensembl:antisense